UCCUAGCCCCGAUAGAAACGGUUACCCCACAGCAGGUGUUGGGAAAGGCUUUGGCGCGAGGAGUAAAAGUGGAUAGCGGGAUAAAGC
rnacentral:sRNA from 1 species